GACAGAGGGUGCUAGCGUUGUUCGGAAUUACUGGGCGUAAAGGGCGCGUAGGCGGCUCGUUUAGUCGGGUGUGAAAUCCCGGGGCUCAACCCCGGAACUGCAUUCGAUACUGGCGGGCUAGAGACCGGAAGAGGUGGGUGGAAUACCCAGUGUAGAGGUGAAAUUCGUAGAUAUUGGGUGGAACACCGGUGGCGAAGGCGGCUCACUGGUCCGGUUCUGACGCUGAGGCACGAAAGCGUGGGGAUCAAACAGG
rnacentral:rRNA from 1 species